rnacentral:rRNA from 1 species
UUAAGAGAAAAUCUUCUUAAUAAUUUCUGCUCAAUGUCACAAAUAAAUAGCCGCAGUAUUCUAACUGUGCUAAGGUAGCAUAAUCACUUGUCUAUUAAUUGUAGACUAGAAUAAAUGAAAAAAUGAGACUUCCACUGUCACAUAAAAUAAAGUAUAAUUUUAUUCAUAGGUGAAGAAGCCUAUAUACCCCUGUAAGACAAGAAGACCCUACGAAGCUUAAACUAAAUAAAUUAAUAAAAUUUACAAAAAUUUUACUGGGAUGAUAAAUAUAUACCAAUCAAUUCUUAUUAAUUAGAUAAACAAAUCUAUGCAAUGAACCAAACCAAUGAUUACUGAAUAAAGCUACUCUAGGGAUAACAGAUCAAUUUCUUUCUAAAGUUCAUAUUCAAAAAGAAGAUUGACACCUCGAUGUUGGCUUAUAAAAAAAUUUGGAGAAAAAAUUAAAAAUAAAGGUUUGUUCAACCUAUAAUUUAUU